UAUGCCUCUUCGGAUGUAUCAGAUGAUCAGU
rnacentral:piRNA from 1 species